AGCGAACGCUGGCGGCAGGCCUAACACAUGCAAGUCGAACGGAUCCUUCGGGAUUAGUGGCGGACGGGUGAGUAACACGUGGGAACGUGCCCUUUGGUUCGGAACAACUCAGGGAAACUUGAGCUAAUACCGGAUGUGCCCUUCGGGGGAAAGAUUUAUCGCCAUUGGAGCGGCCCGCGUCUGAUUAGCUAGUUGGUGAGGUAACGGCCCACCAAGGCGACGAUCAGUAGCUGGUCUGAGAGGAUGAUCAGCCACACUGGGACUGAGACACGGCCCAGACUCCUACGGGAGGCAGCAGUGGGGAAUCUUGAGCAAUGGGCGAAAGCCUGACGCAGCCAUGCCGCGUGAAUGAUGAAGGUCUUAGGAUUGUAAAAUUCUUUCAGCGGGGACGAUAAUGACGGUACCCGCAGAAGAAGCUCCGGCUAACUUCGUG
rnacentral:rRNA from 1 species